AUUAAGCCUUUGACUGUAUUUGAAUUGAAAGAAGGGCUGUUGGUGGUGGGUAUCACCGCUUGUAAAAACUAAAACAACUUCAAACAAAAGAUUUUGAAUAACCCUGUUUAGAUAUGAUUUUUUCUGGAGAGCCCCUAGUACAUUCAAAGCUAGCACUCCUGGUUCACUGGCAUACAUGUACUGCUGUACGGACAUUCUAAACAUUUUGACAGCUAAGAAAAAACACAAUGCAGGAUGUGAAGGCAGGUCAAAAAAUGAAGUGAUCCUCCUACUAAUGUUCCUGUCAUAUGUUCUAAAAUGUAUGGCGUGUAAGUUAGCGCUACAUCAGUAGAAACUGACAGAGAAUAAUAGCAUGAAGAGCAAAGCUGGAAGGACUUGUCUGUCUGUCUCUCUCAGUCAUCUGGACCAACCUGUCCACAAUCACAGCCUCUUAGAAGAUUUGCUACUGGUUGGGGAAUUUGUAGCCGAGCGAUGCGUCAGGGGUUGUCAUAUAAAAUGUCCCUUCGGCACUGCUGCACUGACACGUGAAAGUCUAUGAAACAGCAAUCAAGACAUCGGUAGCACAGAGGCCAGAGCCAAGUGAACCCAGUCCCAGAGAUCGGGACCCAGAGAUGGCCCGUGAAAUGAGUUGGAGUUGGAAAACCACCAGAGGGAUAUUCCACGCUCUACUGCCAAUUUCACUAUCAUAAUCAGCCUCAGCUUAUAGAGUGAUAUUAUAAGCCUGGCUAUUUUCGCUGACACUUUUGCUCCUUUUUUCUUUUUCUUUUUUUUGGCACAGAUGAUAAGGAAGAUGAUACGAAUUAUGCAGUGACUGAACUGUAGAUUCUGCAAUAAAGAAAAAAUAAAGAAUGAAGCUGUUGA